UCUAAUUAAAUCUAUUCUAACUUAUAUCUUAUUUCUACCUGUAAAAGUAGCAGAGGGUGCACUCACAGAAAUGAUUCAUGGCAGAGUUAGUUUUUAUGCAUUUACAUCUAUUUGACUUUAUUUAAAAACUAAUAUUUUUAAAAUCUAUACAUUAAAAGUAAAUAUACUCUAAAAGAUUUAAUCAAUUAUACAAUUUAUUUAAUGCAUUUAGUUAAUAAAUACUAACAUUGUUUGAAUAAUAAGAGUUAUAAAACAAACAAGAUUCUGUUAUUUAAAGUUUAUGUGAUUGGUUUUCAUCAAAGUUAUGAAAAAAAUCAAUUUGGAAACAGGAAAUGACAUCAUUUUUGCUGGACACAAGCCCUCGGGAUAUUGUGGGAAUCCGUCACACACAUGUUGAAACGUAACUGGUGGUAUUUUCUUAGUUUUCCUCUCACCGUGUUCUCACCUCCACGUGGCAACAUAGAUUUUUAAUGAAGAUGUCAAUGUGAGGCGAGAUUGUGUGAUGAGCUGUCUGAGCAUCUACCUCAAUGAAGACCUGGAACCACUUGGUAAAGAAUAUGUGGUAUGUAUCAGAAUAGUGUGCCAGUAAUUUUUCCAUCUAGAUAAUAUGGAUUGUUCAUGAGAAUGGAAUGGACAUUAGGACACAUUGACCACCAGUAUUUCAACAUUGAGUCCAUUGGGUUGUUUUGAAUAAAAAAAAUCAUGCAAGGUAAAUGGUGGUAGAGCUGUCACUCUGAGGGAAUUAAAUCUGCUUGGUCCAGAGGAACCUGAAGAUGAAGUUGUCUGGGUUCUGGCACCCACAUGCCCCUUCUCCGCCAGAAACAACAAUCCUCGCCUAAACAACAAGGAUGCAUGUUCUGGACUGUCUGCUUACGAACUCAAGCGCCUUGAGAACAUCACGCACAAGGAAGCCUUCUUGUCGUCUCUGAAGAUAUGGCAAGUAUGUGGACAUUUUAGUAAAGGUAAAGGACUAAUAAGCUGUUUUCCAUUUCAUUUGCCCUCUCCCUACCUCAGUUUCCACCCUACUCUCCUCUUAGUCUCUUUUUCUCUCCCUCCUGCUCUUUCACUGUUGUCCCCCACUGUACGGUCCUUCUCUCCUUCUCCUUUCUUUCUUUUGUAUUCACUUGUUAUCUUACAGGUGUAACAUAGAUUUUAAAAAUAUAUAAAAUUAGAUUUUGGUGGGUUCUUGUAUUUUUUUUAACAAUGUAGUUUACAAAAUAUUGUAAUUUCUGUCUUCAUCCAUUAGCACACCUUUUAGUAUAAUUAUGGUUGCUGUUUAUACAGAAAAACAAGGAGAUAAUUAUUCUUCUUUGUCUCGCCCGCUCUCUCUCUCUCUCUCUCUCUCUCUCUCUCAAAAGGUAGUGGAAGAUCUGAGGCAGUCAGUGAAGCCAAAGCCCAAUGUCAAAAGGUUAAUGGCUUCAUUGGAAGAAAAAUCUCUGCAGUCUCCCCGGAAAUCCCUCCGUUCUAAAAUAGAAAACCUCACCCCAAGUGAAGGGUUGACCCAUAAUCAAGACAUUGAAUCCAGAGAGGCAGAGGAAGACAUGGCAGAAAAGACCAUGGGCAUCUACAAAGUACAAUCAAAGGAUCAUGGUCAAGGUGAUGGACGCUUCACUGAUGUCCGUGUUGUGCUGGAAGGUGUGGAGGUUCUCCACAACCUGUAGAGUGUCACUCAUGCAUGGGUUAUGUUAUAUGGCCUGAUCUACGCGCUCAAUUUGAACUACCCUAAAAGCCUGAAGUGUACAUUUGAGGUGUACCAGAAAAUCCUGAUGGACCUGGACUCAACCAAGCUUUCCCCGAAAGUACAGACACUGAAACUGAAAUUGCUCCAGUGGCUAAAAAUAACAACUUAUACAGCCCCUACCCAUUUUUUUUCACAUUGUGCUCCAACCCUGAGAUAUGUUAAAAUGAUUUCCUAGUUCUAUAAUGAUAUGUUAAUUAGCAACUGAAAAUGGAUCUCUGAGUACAGUUUUAUUUUUUAUUUAUUUAUUUUUUUGGGUGUCCAAGCAGUCAUGUGAUGUUCGAGUGUGGCUGUGUAAGUGGGUUCAUAUGGAUGGUUUCCUAAAUGUUGGCUGAUGUUAACUUGGCUCAAUCCAGAGUUUUGUAUAAAAGAUAAAUAUAAAUAAAUCUGGAAUUUUCCAGUUGGUCUAA